CCCCUCUCAGGGUCACACCUGGAGAGUUUCUAGUACUUUCCCAGUCUCGACUAUGGGAGGGAGAGUCAAGCAGAGUCAUACCCAUUCCAUUCCUAGCUUGGCCAGUGGCUGGUGAGUGGAUGGCAAUUUGCUACAAGU
rfam:Ornithorhynchus anatinus chromosome 2, whole genome shotgun sequence.